AGGAUUCUGGGGCUUUGCAAGUCUGGAGACACUAAACUUCAAGGGGAUUCACCAUCUCACCUCCCUCAAAGAAUUAAGCAUUCUAGACUACCCGAAGCUGGAAGAAAAGCUGCCCGUCUCCAUAACAAAACUCGAAGUCAAAAAGAGUCCUUUGUGGCAUAUGAAAGACCAACAACUUCAAUCCGAAGAUGACUCGUCCUAAUAAGCUAUUUGUUUGGUGACUAAAGUUUUUUAAACAGAAUAGAGGCUGCAUCGUGUUGAUUCUGACUUCACCUUGUAUUCAACUUGCAAGGAUUCUGUCUGUUAAUGUCUUGGCGAAAAGGCGUAUAAGGCAUCGAGGAGCUUGCUAUCACAAUAAAUCUCUCUAGAACCAUAAAUAUGUCAAUUAAAGUAUUUGCUUAAUCAGAGGUAACAUAAGAAAAGUAUAGUUGUCUUUUGUAUUGAUAUUAUUUAUUAUUUGAAUUUUCAAUACCCAACUUGGCAAACAUGACCUUUUAUUUAUUUUAGAUGGGUAAUUGUAAUAGAAUUUAUCAUUGCAUUUCAAACUCCUUACCCCAAAAUUACAUCUCUAGUUUAGAAGUCAUAGCUUGCAAAACUUUCCUUGCUGUAGUGAAAGUACUAAAUUGAUCUAAUAUAUCUUUGUUCUAGCUGCAUUGGUUCAUGUUUCUUCUUUCAUAAAACAAAUAUUCUACUACCUAAUCUGGUAGCAUUGAUUUAA